UCCUAGCGUUGGGGGUCCCAUGCAGGAUGCAUGGGUGAGAAACACCCUUCGAACCUGAAGCGGGUAAUGCCGCCGGAGGAAAACGCCGAUGAACGCCA
rnacentral:ncRNA from 2 species